rnacentral:rRNA from 1 species
UUAAAUUGAAGAGUUUGAUCAUGGCUCAGAUUGAACGCUGGCGGCAGGCCUAACACAUGCAAGUCGAACGGUAACAGGAAACAGCUUGCUGUUUCGCUGACGAGUGGCGGACGGGUGAGUAAUGUCUGGGAAACUGCCUGAUGGAGGGGGAUAACUACUGGAAACGGUAGCUAAUACCGCAUAACGUCGCAAGACCAAAGAGGGGGACCUUCGGGCCUCUUGCCAUCGGAUGUGCCCAGAUGGGAUUAGCUAGUAGGUGGGGUAACGGCUCACCUAGGCGACGAUCCCUAGCUGGUCUGAGAGG